GCGGCUGCCGGAGAGGAGCUCCUGCCAGGACCACCGCCGGCUGCUGCUGCCCCCCAAGAACGUCGAGGCGUUUUUCCUGACCCCGCGCGGCUCCGCGGGGCUGCAGCGCCAGAAGGUUCUGCUCAAGCUGGGGGACCAGCGGGGUCCGUGCGAGGCCGACGCCCUCCGUGCCCCCCUGUCCCCAAUGUCCCCUCGCUGUCCUUU